rnacentral:rRNA from 1 species
CAAUAGCGUAUAUUAAAGUUGUUGCGGUUAAAAAGCUCGUAGUUGGAUUUCUGCUGAGGAUGACCGGUCCGCCCUCUGGGCAGGUAUCUGGCUCAGCCUUGGCAUCUUCCUGAAGAACGCAGCUGCACUUGACUGUGUGGUGCGGUAUUUAGGACAUUUACUUUGAGGAAAUUAGAGUGUUUCAAGCAAGCGCACGCCUUGAAUACAUUAGCAUGGAAUAAUAAGAUAGGACCUCGGUUCUAUUUUGUUGGUUUCUAGAACUGAGGUAAUGAUUGAUAGGGAUAGUUGGGGGCAUUCGUAUUUAACUGUCAGAGGUGAAAUUCUUGGAUUUGUUAAAGACGGACUGCUGCGAAAGCAUUUGCCAAGGAUGUUUUCAUUGA